AUGGUUACCCCCAACACAGUCCACCCUACACCCUACUCAUUCCAACAUGGUUACCCUCCAACACAGUCCACCCUACACCCUACUCAUUCCAACAUGGUUACCCUCCAACACAGUCCACCCUACACCCUACUCAUUCCAACAUGGUUACCCCCAACACAGUCCACCCUACACCCUACUCAUUCCAACAUGGUUACCCCCAACACAGUCCACCCUACACCCUACUCAUUCCUACAUGGUUACCCUCCAACACAGUCCACCCUACACCCUACUCAUUCCAACAUGGUUACCCCCAACACAGUCCACCCUACACCCUACUCAUUCCAACAUGGUUACCCCCAACACAGUCCACCCUACACCCUACUCAUUCCAACAUGGUUACCCCCCAAUACAGUCCAACCUACUCAUUCCAACAUGGUUACCCCCCAAUACAGUCCACCCUACACCCUACUCAUUCCAACAUGGUUACCCCCCAAUACAGUCCACCCUACACCCUACUCAUUCCAACAUGGUUACCCCCCAAUACAGUCCACCCUGCACCCUACUCAUUCCAACAUGGUUACCCCCCAAUACAGUCCAACCUACUCAUUCCAACAUGGUUACCCCCCAAUACAGUCCAACCUACUCAUUCCUACAUGGUUACCCCCCAAUACAGUCCACCCUACAACCUACUCAUUCCAACAUGGUUACCCCCCAACACAGUCCACCCUACUCAUUCCUACAUGGUUACCAUCCAACACAGUCCACCCUACUCAUUCCUACAUGGUUACCCCCCAACACAGUCCACCCUACACCCUACUCAUUCCUACAUGGUUACCCCCCAACACAGUCCACCCUACACCCUACUCAUUCCAACAUGGUUACCCCCCAGUACAGUCCACCCUACUCAUUCCAACAUGGUUACCCCCCAACACAGUCCACCCUACUCAUUCCUAUAUGGUUACCCCCCAACACAGUCCACCCUACUCAUUCCAACAUGGUUACCCCCCAACACAGUCCACCCUACUCAUUCCAACAUGGUUACCCCCCAGUACAGUCCACCCUACUCAUUCCUGCAUGGUUACCCCCCAACACAGUCCACCCUACACCCUACUCAAACCUACAUGGUUACCAUCCAACACAGUCCACCCUACUCAUUCCUACAUGGUUACCCCCCAACACAGUCCACCCUACUCAAACCUACAUGGUUACCAUCCAACACAGUCCACCCUACUCAUUCCUACAUGGUUACCCCCCAACACAGUCCACCCUACUCAAACCUACAUGGUUACCAUCCAACACAGUCCACCCUACUCAUUCCUACAUGGUUACCAUCCAACACAGUCCACCCUACACCCUACUCAUUCCUACAUGGUUACCAUCCAACACAGUCCACCCUACAACCUACUCAUUCCUACAUGGUUACCCCGCAGUACAGUCCACCCUACAUUUAGUUCUCACUAG
rnacentral:lncRNA from 1 species